GACGAACGCUGGCGGCGCGCUUAACACAUGCAAGUCGAACGGAAAGGCCUGCUUUCCCUUGUGGAUUGCGGGUACUCGAGUGGCGAACGGGUGAGUAACCCGUGAGUGAUCUGCCACCAACUUGGGUAUCAGCCUGGGAAACUGGGUCUAAUUCUCGAUAGGACUGCAGGGUGGUGCCUUUGGUUGAGAACGAUUUUCUGGUGGUUGGGGAUGAGCUCGCCGCCUAUCAGCUUGUUGGUGGGGUAAUGGCCUACCAAGGCGGCGACGGGUAGCCGCCGUGAGGGGGUGGACGGCCACAUUGGGACUGAGAAGCGGCCCAGAGUCCGACGGGAGGCAGCAGUGGGGAAGAGUGGACGAUGGGCGGAAGACUGAUGCAGCGACGCAGCGUGGGGGAUGACAGCCUGCGGGUUGUAAGCUCCUUUCGGCCGCGAGGAAGCCACCUGGUUGGAAGGGUGGUGACGGUAGUGAUAGAAGAAGCACCGGCUAACUACGUG
rnacentral:rRNA from 1 species